AACGAACGCUGGCGGCAUGCCUAACACAUGCAAGUCGAACGAGACCUUCGGGUCUAGUGGCGCACGGGUGCGUAACGCGUGGGAACCUGCCCUUAGGUUCGGAAUAACUCCCCGAAAGGGGUGCUAAUACCGGAUAAUGUCUUCGGACCAAAGAUUUAUCGCCUUUGGAUGGGCCCGCGUUGGAUUAGCUAGUUGGUAGGGUAAAAGCCUACCAAGGCGACGAUCCAUAGCUGGUCUGAGAGGAUGAUCAGCCACACUGGGACUGAGACACGGCCCAGACUCCUACGGGAGGAAGCAGUGGGGAAUAUUGGACAAUGGGCGAAAGCCUGAUCCAGCAAUGCCGGGUGAGGGAUGAAGGCCUUAGGGUUGUAAAGCUCUUUUCCCCGGGAUGAUAAUGACAGUACCGGGAAAAUAAGCCCCGGCUAACCCCGU
rnacentral:rRNA from 1 species